rnacentral:rRNA from 1 species
AUUGAACGCUGGCGGCAUGCUUUACACAUGCAAGUCGAACGGUAACAGGCCGCAAGGUGCUGACGAGUGGCGAACGGGUGAGUAAUGCAUCGGAACGUGCCCAGUCGUGGGGGAUAACGCAGCGAGAGCUGCGCUAAUACCGCAUACGAUCUAUGGAUGAAAGCGGGGGACCGUAAGGCCUCGCGCGAUUGGAGCGGCCGAUGUCAGAUUAGGUAGUUGGUGAGGUAAAGGCUCACCAAGCCAACGAUCUGUAGCUGGUCUGAGAGGACGACCAGCCACACUGGGACGGAGACACGGCCCAGACUCCUACGGGAGGCAGCAGUGGGGAAUUUUGGACAAUGGGCGCAAGCCUGAUUCAGCAAUGCCGCGUGCAGGAAGAAGGCCUUCGGGUUGUAAACUGCUUUUGUACGGAACGAAACGGUCUGGGUUAAUACCCUGGGCUAAUGACGGUACCGUAAGAAUAAGCACCGGCUAACUACGUGCCAGCCGCCGCCGUAAGAC